GGCACAUUGGCUUAGUGGUUAGCACUUUGGCCUCACAACUCCAGGGUUGGGGGUUUGAAUCCCGCCUCUGCCC